GCGGGAAUCCAGCCAAUAUAAUUCAGUGCUUGAAACAUGUGGACUUAAAGGAUGUUGCAAGACCCGUUGCGUUUCUAGCCAAAAUGACGGGUCAUGGGCCACUGGUUGUACAACUCCUUGGCAAGGGUCUGCUGAAUCCAAAUUCAAUGAGACGGUUACUUGAUAAUUCUUCACCAAGGGAAGUCAAACUGGAUGUUCUAAUGAUAGUUUCAGAUGUAGCUCGUAUGCAUAAGGAUUUUUAUGAGCACAUAAAGGGAGCAGACAUCUUGGAACACUUGAAAGGCUUUCUUACACAUGAAGAUCCUAAUAUACGUGCUAAGUAGUGCAGUGCUCUAGGAAACAUGUGCCGACAUAACUCCUACUUCUAUAGCUUGUUGUCUUUGACUAAUACUCGGGCAUUUUUUUCUUGGAUUGUUGAGCCUUCAUUAUUAAUCUUGGGGAUAUGAUGGAACGAUGGACAAAUUGUUGUUCAGAUAACACUACGCCGAGUUAUGCCAACUGGGAAAGAGCGAUAUUCUAUGGCGUUGUUUUUGGAUCCUAAUCCUGAUUGUAUUGUUGAGUGUUUGAAAAGCUGCUGCAGCAACUCAUCUCCUCCAAGGUUUCCUCCAAUACAUAGUGGAGACCACCUGAGGGAUCGUAUCAAUGCUGCCUAUUCCUCUUCCUCAUAGAAUGUAUUUGCAGUGGCUAUCUUAAAAGUCUUGAGUUAUUGUAUAAUCAAAGAUAUAACUUUAUAAAAAAUGUUUUAUGUAGUGUGGAUACAAGAUUUUUUACUACCCCAAUGAUUUUAGUUCUAGGUGUAACUAAAUGUUCAUUUUUA